CCUACGGGAGGCAGCAGUGGGGAAUUUUGGACAAUGGGCGCAAGCCUGAUCCAGCAAUGCCGCGUGAGUGAAGAAGGCCUUCGGGUUGUAAAGCUCUUUUGUCAGGGAAGAAACGGUAGAGGCUAAUAUCCUUUGCUAAUGACGGUACCUGAAGAAUAAGCACCGGCUAACUACGUGCCAGCAGCCGCGGUAAUACGUAGGGUGCAAGCGUUAAUCGGAAUUACUGGGCGUAAAGCGUGCGCAGGCGGUUUUGUAAGUUUGUCGUGAAAUCCCCGGGCUCAACCUGGGAAUGGCGAUGAAGACUGCAAGGCUAGAAUCUGGCAGAGGGGGGUAGAAUUCCACGUGUAGCAGUGAAAUGCGUAGAGAUGUGGAGGAACACCGAUGGCGAAGGCAGCCCCCUGGGUCAAGAUUGACGCUCAUGCACGAAAGCGUGGGGAGCAAACAGGAUUAGAUACCCUGGUAGUCCACGCCCUAAACGAUGUCUACUAGUUGUCGGGUUUUAAUUAACUUGGUAACGCAGCUAACGCGUGAAGUAGACCGCCUGGGGAGUACGGUCGCAAGNUUAAAACUUCAAAGGAAUUGACGG
rnacentral:rRNA from 1 species